rnacentral:lncRNA from 1 species
CCCUUUUGUUGUUGGGGGAAACAAUGUAAUCUUUUGAAACUCUCUUUUAUUGAAACUCUUGUUUAUUUAUAUGAUUGUCAUAUGCUUUGAUUAUCAAUUGUUGGGUUCUCAUCUGCGCUUAAGGCUUUUAUCGUUUAACUCAUUCGAUAACUGUUGUUUGUCUCUAUUGAUACGGGAACGUACAGUACUGUCAUGAACUGGUGAGAAAUUCCUUGAUUAAUGAAAUACCACCUAGAGAAAGGGAGGUAGGACGAUCAAUUAUUUUUGCUUCUGUUCGGUAAUGCAUUGCUAAUUGCUAGGGGAGGCUAGGGAUAGCAAGCCGGUAAUUAGUAAUAGGCUCUUUUCGCCGAGGGAUCAGGUUAAGGGUAGGCCAAGAAAGUUUGCAUAACAAUUAGAUGAUCAAGCACAUUAAACAAGAGGAGUAGAUAAGAGGGAGCGAAUAAGAUGAAAUUGUCAAUCCCCAACAAGUCCAUUCAUCCAUAGUCUUUUUCGUCAAUUGAAUCAAAAACAUUGCAUGUUUAUUUUCUGUCUUUGCAUUCCAAACAAUUAAUUUUUCUUUACAAGUCUUACGAUCUCGAUUCACACGAACGAUAAGG